UACGUAGGGCGCAAGCGUUGUCCGGAAUUAUUGGGCGUAAAGAGCUCGUAGGCGGUUUGUCGCGUCUGUCGUGAAAGCUUGGGGCUUAACCCCAAGUCUGCGGUGGAUACGGGCAGACUAGAGGCAGGUAGGGGAGAACGGAAUUCCCGGUGUAGCGGUGAAAUGCGCAGAUAUCGGGAGGAACACCGGUGGCGAAGGCGGUUCUCUGGGCCUGUGCUGACGCUGAGGAGCGAAAGCGUGGAGAGCGAACAGG
rnacentral:rRNA from 1 species